CCUGGAUCAAGAGGCCAGCUAAGCUCCACCCUGGGUUGGGGACAGGUCUUUACCAAGAUAAGAGGAAGAAGUUGCAAAAUACGGUUCCAGAAAUAAAAACUACACGCAUACAUCCACAUGAAUUUCUGAGCAAGAUGCCAAGCCCUUCUCUGAAGCCAUGUGAAUUUUUCUCUUGUGCGUUUGUCAGCCUGAGUCCAAGCCAUCUUACUCUUUCCUCACUUCUGUCUGGUUUUGGUUAGCUGCUUCUUGGCAUUGCUUCCGCUGGAGCUGAGGGCGUCUGCUCCCCCCACCCACUCCCUCGCCUUUCUCAUCCCUCCUCUUUUCUUUCCUUUCCCUUUAAAAUGUCUCUUUUGGUAUUCUUUCUCCUGGGUCCCAUAAUGACUCCGAGGGAGUAAAAAGGGAGCAAAAUAAGAUUAAACGGUCUCUCACACCCACACUGUCCAUCUCCAUCAGAUAUUCACACAAAAUGUAAAGAGCAUGCUCCCAGGAAGAGCC
rnacentral:lncRNA from 1 species